GACGAACGCUGGCGGCGUGCUUAACACAUGCAAGUCGAACGAAGUGGCGAACGGGUGAGUAACGCGUAGUCAACCUGCCCUUCAGAGGGGAACAACAGUUGGAAACGUCUGUUAUUACCGCUUACUGAUGGGGGGGUUUGUGUCGGAUUAGCUAGGUGGAGGGGUAACGGCCAACCAAGGCGAAGAGCAGUAGGCGGUCUGGGAGGAUGAACGGCCAAAAUUGGACUGGGAAACGGCCCCAACUCCUACGGGAGGCAGCAGUGGGGAAUCAUCCGCAAUGGACGAAAGUCUGACGGAGCAACGCCGCGUGAGUGAUGACGGCCUUCGGGGUGUAAAGCUAUGUUAAUCGGGACGCGGUACCGGAAUAGAAAGCCACGGCUAACUACAUGCCAGCAGCCGCGGUAAUUC
rnacentral:rRNA from 1 species